UGUGGGAGCGAGCCUGCUCGCGAUGGCGGCGGUACAUUCAACAUUUCUGUAGCAGAUACACCGCUAUCGCGAGCAGGCUCGCUCCCACA
rnacentral:misc_RNA from 1 species